rnacentral:rRNA from 1 species
UACGGAGGAUGCAGGCGUUAUCCGGAUUUAUUAGGUUUAAAGGGUGUCUAGGCUGUCGUAUAAGUCAGAGGUGAAAGUCGGUUGCUCAACGAUCGAAUUGCCUUUGAAACUGUAUGACUUGAGUAUGGAUGAGGUAGGCGGAAUGUGUAGUGUAGCGGUGAAAUGCAUAGAUAUUACACAGAACUCCGAUUGCGAAGGCAGCUUACCAAACCAGCACUGACGCUAAAGCACGAAAGCGUGGGGAGCGAACAGG